GGUGGUAUCGCCAAGUGGUAAGGCCGUGGAUUGCAAAUCCUCUAUCCCCAGUUCAAAUCUGGGUACCACCU
rnacentral:tRNA from 1 species